GGUUUUGGCCAAAUUGGGCGAGGGCACAAAAUAACCACUUACCCCUUCUCACCGAGGAAGAACGGGAGAAAGGUCUCAAGGCUGGGUGAAAAGAUACUUCAAGGCCUUUUGUAAAGGCUUCUUUGUGGCGGUGCCCGUGGCAGUAACUUUCCUGGAUCAGGUUGCCUGCGUGGCAAGAGUGGAAGGAGCAUCAAUGCAGGUAUCUGAUUAGAAGGAUGGAGUCAUGGGAAGUCACAGCUAGUUGAAGCUAAGUCAAAAAUGUAAGUAAAACUAAUGACAUAAUUCAGUGACAAAUAGGAUUCAGUUUAUGAAACACUUGAUUUGUUAUCCAUUUAAACAGGUACAUCCCUUUAAUUGAAUGAAAUGUACCUUUAGUAAUGCUCUGCACACAAGGAGCACUAGCAGAAAUUGUUGGUUAAUGAUUAUUCAUACUGACCUAUUCCCCUCUCAUGCACAUGAAUCAUUUCUACUGGUUGCUGAAAGGUUACUCUGAAAGUAGAUGCACUUUUUUUUUUUUUUUUUUUUAAAGCACCACCACAUUACUCAACAUUAAUUUAACUCAGGCAACGAAGACUGAUAUCGAAUACAGUUGAAACUAUGGAGGGAAUUUAUGUCGCUGAGAUGCAAUUAUUCAAUUAGAAGUUCAAUUGCUUACAGAGGCUUUUAGACUAAAAAGGUGCCCUAGGAAUAGUUUAAUGACCUCACACCAAAGUUUCAGAUUUUAUUUGAGUGAGAGUGCCUGCAGCUGGGUCACUGGUUCUUAUAAAAGGUGUAUGCCUCCCAAAAUUAAAAUUAAGAUUUAAGACUUAGAAAAAAGAAAUAAUUUCAAGUGUCCUUGUCCUGUAUUUGUUGCUGUUGCCACUUAAUUUUGUAUAUAGUAUGCCAUGUUCCUCUUUCCAUGUUGCAUAGCCAGAGGGGAAAAUACUUGAGAACAUUACUACCCAAUACUGUCUCUCUAGCUGAGACUUCAGAGAAAGAUUUAUGCAGAAUCGAUAAGAACAUUGGAGAAUGUGAGGGAAAAUAGAGUCUGAUCAGCACUGAGGUCUCUAUUCAUCAACAGCACACAUUCAUUGGUUCAAAACCAUCUUGACUUUCAGCAACCUACAAAUGAUCCUGAAGAAACUGGUUUGUAAUAAACCUCUUUUGACUUCUACUUGGCUCUUUGUAGUCAUUAUCUUGUUCCCUGCUGAGUUUAAAAUGAAAAGUUCUGUCAAAAAAAGCAAGCAAAGAGGCUGAUGCUCUUUCUCUCUUUCUGUCACAUUAUUUAUUUUAUUUUAUUAAGAAAAUUUUAAACCCAUGAUGGGCUUACUAUACAAUAGUUAUGAUUGGGUGCAACUAUUAUUUUGACCUUCUGAGAAGCCAGAUGCAAAUACUCUCAAGAAAAGAGACGUGUUGUCAUUUAUGUACCAGGGUUUAAGGUGGAGUUUGGGAGCUUUAUGUUACCUGCUGAAUUUGCACUUCCGAGAUGCUGUGAACCACCUGGGCACACAUUUCCUCUGAUGCUGACUGCUCUCUGCUCUUAUUCCCCUAGGUUGGCUGGGGCUCUACUUGAGGGAAGCCGGGACUUAAUGUUGGAAGGCUUUACUGGCUUAGGCAUGUACUUUCUUCCCAAAUUACUUUUGGCUCAAAACUCUUACCUGAGGUUUUCACCCCUUAGGAUAUUAUGCAUUUUUAUGUCGUUCUGCAACUUGUCAUUAAUGGAGAAUUCAAAUAGAUCAGUUUGUAUUUAUAGCAAGAAACAUAUGUGAUACCGAAGCAGUUGGUGAGUGAUAACUUUAUAAUGACGCUUCUUGGAUUUUCUUCAUGUCCCAGGAUAGGAAAACAGUAUGCUUCUGGUUUACGUAGCCAGGGUUAUAUCUGUUAUUUAAACACUGACGUCAUAACACUCUUUCGCUCCCUUUUUAAAUGCUAGGUAAUUUUAAACUUACAGAAAAGUUCUAAGAGGAGUCCAGGCAACUUCCAGGUGUCCUCUACUGAGAUUCACCAGUUUCUCAAGCAUUUGCCGCCGUUGUUUUCUCCGCUUCCUCUUUCUCUUUCCUUUCCUCUUCUUCCGUUUAUAACAUAUAAGAUAUAGCGACCUCUAAUGUAUAAUAGGUAUGUUUCUAUGUGCAUAUGCUCACUUAUUGUACGUGUGAGUAUGUAUACCCACAAGCGUUAUUGCACCAGUUGAGAGUAGGGUGCCUGCACCCUUCCCCUCUAACAGUACCUCUGUAUACUCUGCUGAUUGGUGUAUUCAUGCUUUUCUUUUACAGACUUUCAAAUUCAAUAUUUUAUUCAGGCUCAUAGGUAUAGAACUUUUGGGACAUUAAGACGUAUUUAUUCAGGUUCUAAACUUCGUAUUUGCAAAAACUGAGGCCAGACAUUUGAGACAAUUGACCUAAAUUCACACAGCCAUUCCAUUUUACAAGUGGCUUGAACCAACUCUGAUAAUGUGUUCCAUUUUUACUAAAUCAUGACAAAUGAAAGUUGUGCCGUAUCACAGUGCUCUCAUGUCUCCUUAAGGUAUUCCUGCUCACAGAGAUACUUUGUUCCAUUUUGGUUUUGUUGAUUGAAUGAUGUAAUCAGUAAGUUAUUUAAUUGGGAUGUCGUUUAUAGUAUAUUUGGCAUUUAAACAAAGAUAGACAUUAAGCUUAUAAGUGGGAGAUGAAAGAUUUUAAACUUUGAAACUCAGGUUGAUGGAAGAUACCCUGUUCUACCCUAAAGAUUACAGAUUUUCUCAGAAGGAGUUAGACUUCCAUUUCUGGAAAUGUGGCAGAGUAGACCUCUUGAAAAUAUCCCCAAUGCGGAACUCAUUAAAAAGUAGAAAUACAACAUUAGAAAUCUUUAAAAAUGCAUAGUGACAUUGCAGGAAGGUAAAGGAAAUGAUCAGAGGCUGCAGAUAAGGGGUACAAUUCCAGAGAAGUAAGUGUGCGUUAAAAUAAGCAGCUGUCCCAUGGGCAUUUGUCAGUUCCUGGGAAGUUUAAUGGCCACAUGGGGAUCAGAAGAAAAGGCCCUGGGCUCAUUCAAGGUAGAGAGUUGGAAUAGAAGUUCUGAGUAAAUUUGGGCCCAUGGAAGAGACACAUUUUUAGGGAAUAGGUACACUGAAAACAAAACAUUCUAAGCAAAAAGUUGUCUAGGUUCUGAGUACAGGGAAAAGCCCUAAUGUGGGAUUAGGGUUUAAAUUCACAUUCCCUGUAACUGAACAACCCUAAACAAAGAUAUUAAUUUACAGUGGACUGGGCUUUAAGGCAACCUCAGGCACUUGGCAGAAGCUAUCUCCAGCCUUCCUGGGCACGUGCAGUUUGAUGCACAUGAUCUUACAGUAAAAGAUAUCACACAAGGAAGUGAGGACUGUGAGGGAGGGUGUUACCGAACAGCCUGUAGUAGGAUCAGACCUUAAAGACUAAAGUCUUUAAGCAUUAGAACUGUCAGCUGUAAGGGUUGUAUGUUUAAAGGAAUUAAAGAGGAAACUGAAAGUAUGAGAAAGCAACAAAAGAUUAAAGUGGUCAAGCAAAGUGCCAUUGCUUUUUUUAAAAUCACUUGUGCUUUAUUUAUUUAUUUUGUCUUUUUGCCUUUUGUAGGGCCGCUCCCUCGGCAUGUGGAGGUUCCCAGGCUAGGGGCCCAAUAGGAGUUGUAGCUGCCGGCCUACACCAGAGCCACGGCAACGCCAGAUCCAAGCUGCUUCUGCGACCUACACCACAGCUCACUGCAACGCCGGAUCCUUAACCUACUGAGCAAGGCCAGGGAUCGAACCCACAACCUCAUGGUUCCUAGUCGGAUUCGUUAACCACUGAGCCACGACGGGAACUCCGAUCACUUGUGCUUUAAUAGAUUUUUUAAGAUAUAAAAAUGGUAUUGUGGUCAGGAUAAAAAAAUCCUUCCAAACUAUGAAUCUUAUAAAAUUUGCAAUGAAAUAUCUAUCAAAUACCUGAGAUUUACUUUAAAAUGGAUGAGGAAAAGUGGGGUGGGAUUAUAAAUGAAACAAGAUUGGCCAUGAGUUCAUAAUUGUUGAAUAUAGAUGAUUGGAUAACAAGGUGGUUCAUUAUACUGUUCUGUCUACUUUUUAUAACAUAAGUGGAUUGAGGUAUAAUUUAUGUACCUUUGGAUUUACCCAUUCUGAGUGAGUUAGUGAUUUUUAAUAAAUUUAUAAAGUUGUAAAGUUGUACAGUCAUCACUUUUUAGAGCAUUUCCAAGAUCCCUCAUGCCUGUUUGAAGUUAAUUUUUGCUUCCACCUUGCCUCAGGCAACCACAGAUCUGCUCUGUAUACAGAUUUGCCUUUUCUGGACAUUUCCUGUAAACAGAACAAAACAAUAUGUGGUGUUUAUAUGUAUUGUACCAUAUAUCAAUUGUUUGUAUGGUUUUAUUGCUGAAUAGUUUUGCAUUGUAUGAAUGCACCAUCUUUUGUUUCUCUUUUCACCAGGUGAUAAACAUUUAGGUUGUUUCUGCGUUUCCAUUCUUGUGCAUGAUGCUGCUGUGGAUAUUUGUGUAUUGGUUUCUGUGUAAACAUGCUUUCAUUUCUCUUGGGCGGAUACAUAGGAUGGAAUUGCUUGGUCGUGUGGUACAUUUAUGUUUAAAUUGUAAAGAAAUUGCCAAGCUCACACUUGGGUAGGAGAAAGUGGGCUGAUAGCAUGACACGCUCAUUCUGCCUCUUUGUUGCUGGUUCAUGGGACGUGAAGGGGCCCUGUCCAGUCUCCCUGCUGUGGGUGAGGCCCCAAGUCCAGCUCCCCGCUCAGCCCACUCACACUGUGGUGUUGGGCCACUUGUUUUCUUUCAUGUUUGGGUAGAUUAGGACCGGUGUUAUAAAAAAGGGAUUUUGUGGAGUUCCUGCUGUGGCUCAGUGGAAAUGAGUCUGACUGUUAUCCAUGAAGAUGUGGGUUCCAUCCCCGGCCUCCCUCAGUGGGUUAAGGAUCUGGUGUUGCUGAGAGCUACGGUGUAGGUCGCAGACAUCGCUUGAAUCCAGUGCUGCUAUGGCUGUGGUGUAGGCCGGUGUCUGUAACUCCAAUUCGACCCCUAGCCUGGGAACCUCCAUAUGCCUCAGGUGUUGCCCUUAAAAAAAAAAAAAAAAAAAAAAAA
rnacentral:lncRNA from 1 species